rnacentral:rRNA from 1 species
GACGAACGCUGGCGGCGUGCUUAACACAUGCAAGUCGAACGGAAAGGCCCUGCUUUUGUGGGGUGCUCGAGUGGCGAACGGGUGAGUAACACGUGAGUAACCUGCCCUUGACUUUGGGAUAACUUCAGGAAACUGGGGCUAAUACCGGAUAGGAGCUCCUGCUGCAUGGUGGGGGUUGGAAAGUUUCGGCGGUUGGGGAUGGACUCGCGGCUUAUCAGCUUGUUGGUGGGGUAGUGGCUUACCAAGGCUUUGACGGGUAGCCGGCCUGAGAGGGUGACCGGCCACAUUGGGACUGAGAGACGGCCCAGACUCCAACGGGAGGCAGCAGUGGGGAAUACUGCACAAUGGGCGGAAGCCUGAUGCAGCAACGCCGCGUGCGGGAUGACGGCCUUCGGGUUGUAAACCGAUUUCGCCUGUGACGAAGCGUGAGUGACGGUAAUGGGUAAAGAAGCACCGGCUAACUACGUG